rnacentral:lncRNA from 1 species
AAGAGAUCCUGAAAACCAACAUUCCACACAGAACUCUCAGAAGCUGGGCAGUUGCUAGACAGAGUUGGUGGACUCCUCUGGAAGAGGGAGAGGCUGCUUUUCUCUAGCAGUCAGGAAAGCCCAGAGGGUUUCUGUCUGGUAUCUCUGGGGUGGGCCCAGAGAACCAGUGGUUACCUCUUCUUUGGCUUUCUUGAUAUUCUGCCUGUUCCUGCCUGCUAUUGCUGCCAGUGUUACUUAUGUCAAGUGGAUUUCAACAGGCUAUUACUGGGACUACUGUUUGAAUCAAAGAGGACUCCUAUGUUGUGGCUAGAGAAGCUAGAGUAGCAAUAGGGAAGAAUGAAGAGGAGGAGGACAAGGAGGACAAGGAAGAUGAGGAAGACCAGGAAGAAGAAAAAGGAAAGAAGUCCAUUGGAGCAAUUUUUUAUAGCCAGAGAGAAUCACAGAUGAGCAGGAAAGUUUUAUGAGUUACAGAUUAAAUUUAUUUUGUACUUUAAAAGAAAAAUAAAUUGGACACUGGAGAGAUGCUCA